rnacentral:rRNA from 1 species
AGUGAACGCUGGCGGUAGGCCUAACACAUGCAAGUCGAACGGCGGCACAGGAGAGCUUGCUCUCUGGGUGGCGAGUGGCGGACGGGUGAGGAAUACAUCGGAAUCUACCUUUUCGUGGGGGAUAACGUAGGGAAACUUACGCUAAUACCGCAUACGACCUACGGGUGAAAGUGGGGGACCGCAAGGCCUCACGCGAUUAGAUGAGCCGAUGUCCGAUAGCGAGUUGGCGGGGUAAUGGCCCACCAAGGCGACGAUCGGUAGCUGGUCUGAGAGGAUGAUCAGCCACACUGGAACUGAGACACGGUCCAGACUCCUACGGGAGGCAGCAGUGGGGAAUAUUGGACAAUGGGCGCAAGCCUGAUCCAGCCAUACCGCGUGGGUGAAGAAGGCCUUCGGGUUGUAAAGCCCUUUUGUUGGGAAAGAAAUCCUGUCGAUUAAUACUCGGUGGGGAUGACGGUACCCAAAGAAUAAGCACCGGCUAACUUCGUGCCAGCAGCCGCGUAAUAC